UACGAAGGGGCUAGCGUUGCUCGGAAUUCAUGCGUGGGCGUAAAGCGGCACGUAGGCGGGUCGUUAAAGUCAGGGGUGAAAUCCCGGAGCUCAACUCCGGAACUGCCUUUGAUAACUGGGCGAUCUUGAGUUCGAGAGAGGUGAGUGGAACUGCGAGUGUAGAGGUGAAAUUCGUAGAUAUUCGCAAAGAACACCAGUAGGCGAAGGCGGCUCACUGGCUCGAUACUGACGCUGAGGUGCGAAAGCGUGGGGAGCAAACAGG
rnacentral:rRNA from 1 species